AGUGAACGCUGGCGGUAGGCCUAACACAUGCAAGUCGAACGGCAGCACAGUAAGAGCUUGCUCUUACGGGUGGCGAGUGGCGGACGGGUGAGGAAUACAUCGGAAUCUACUUUUUCGUGGGGGAUAACGUAGGGAAGCUUACGCUAAUACCGCAUACGACCUACGGGUGAAAGCAGGGGAUCUUCGGACCUUGCGCGAUUGAAUGCGCCGAUGUCGGAUUAGCUAGUUGGCGGGGUAAAGGCCCACCAAGGCGACGAUCCGUAGCUGGUCUGAGAGGAUGAUCGGCCACACUGGAACUGAGACACGGUCCAGACUCCUACGGGAGGCAGCAGUGGGGAAUAUUGGACAAUGGGCGCAAGCCUGAUCCAGCCAUACCGCGUGGGUGAAGAAGGCCUUCGGGUUGUAAAGCCCUUUUGUUGGGAAAGAAAAGCAGCAGGUUAAUACCCCGCUGUUCUGACGGUACCCAAAGAAUAAGCACCGGCUAACUUCGUG
rnacentral:rRNA from 1 species